rnacentral:lncRNA from 9 species
AUGCCAGCUGCAGGAGAUACAGGAAAAAGCUGCUCAUUUUUAGGAGACUGAAAUGAAUUUGUCAACACUUUUUGGAUGAAAGAAGAAACACAAAAUGCCUUGCUCAACACGAUGGUGAAAGGCAAAUUGGAGUGUGGACUUUGCAGCUAAUUACCCUUAUCCUGAUCCCAGAAAGUUGACUGCUUUCUCAAUAACUUGCAGGCGAUGUCCUGGCAUGGCCCAGAUCACUCUAUCUGCAGAAAAAUCAGAGACAGUCGACUCCUCUGUCUUCACACAUUUUAUCCCCCAUCUUCUUUAAUGUGUCCAAGAUAUCAGCUUCUUCCUACUCUCCACAUCCAAUUAAUGUGAUACUUCCAAUGAGGUGGGCCUGUAGGCAGUUCUAUGGACCGUGAAAUGGUCAGUUUCUCUCCCAGCUAAACUGUGUCUCAGAGCAAGAGGGCUGACAUAAUCCUGAGAUAAAAUAGUGAAAGUAUAUGUUCCUUCCAAAUGACAGCAAAGUAGAUGUAGAGAAAAGAGCACACUUCGGAUCGAUAAGAGCCUGCCAGGUAUCAAGGUUUUACUCGUUUGCAGCAUCAGCUGCAAUUGAAGACUUUAUCGGAUUAUGUUCAUUGAGAAUCCUCUGCCAGUCUCCAAAACCUAUCUCCUCCACACCAGUGAAGAUGAAGAGCUAGAAGGGAUGGGACCAGAAUCACUGCUGGAAUCACUAUUUCACAUCUUUGAUGGGGUAGUAGUGUCUGUGACUCAUCUAGGAAUGCAAUUAUUCCCAUUUAUUUUGGCAUGUAAAGGAAGUUCCAGAGAUUUCUAUGAGACCUUUUCUGUCAAACUAGCCUGUGUUCCAGGGAACUAAAGUAGGAGCCUGGUGGUUGCUAAGGACACAUUUCUGCUAUGCAUUCAAGAACUGGAAAAGUAAGUAUGUGAUAUUUUUGGAGUCCUAUAGGGUCUAUUAUUAUACAGACAAAUAAUACAAUGUCAUUUAUUACUACACCUUAUAAGCUGUGUCUCUGGAUCACAGUGGCUUUCUAUAUACCCAAGAGUUAGUAGAAGCCGGUAGCCAUAGGCAGAAAAAAAAUAUCCACAAUUUUCUGAGUGUAUCCCUGUAUCUUUCCUUACAGAAGAUUUAUAGAACUGGCACUAUGUGCAAUUACAACAGUUGCAUCCUCAAGAUUAUCAGGUUUUUUCUUUAUUUAAGGGUCUGUGAGUGUGUGAAAGAAUUUUAGAACAGAAAUUGGGCAAGAUGCCCCAAGUCCCUGCAAAGGUUGGUUAUAAAAACCAAGCAGGACCUCUGUGGAAUGCUCUUCUGUUUUUUCCCUACAGUCUCUGUAAUCAGCUAAGUAUUGUUACUUACCUGUGCAUGUCUCACCUUUUAUUUUAUUGCUAUUAUUAUUUCUUUUUUCAUUUUAUGGCUGUGCCUGUAGCAUAUGGAAGUUCCCAGGCUAGGGGUCAAAUCGGAGCUGCAGCUGCUGGUCUACAGCACAGCCACAGCAACUCAGGAUCUGAGUUGUCUGCAAUCUACACCACAGCUAAUGGCAACACAGGAUCCUUAACCCACUGAGCGAGGCCAAGGAUAAGGCCAGGUAACGAACCUGUGUCCUCAUGGAUGCUUUCAGAUUUCAUUUCCACUGAGCCACAAUGGGAACUCCCUUGACUCGUUUUAAAAUACAACACCAUGUAAGCGUGAACUUUGCAUUUAGAUUUUCAUUCUUUAUUUCUCAUCUGCUUAGCAAUCGAGUUCAUCAUAGUCCUGGAAAAUUCCCAAUUUUAGUUAAUUAUUAUUAUUUUACUGAGCAUUCAGAGAUUAGGGCAUGGCCUUCUCUCUUUUCAGCUCUGCAGAACUUUUCAGAUACCACUCAAUAAUCAUUCCUUAAAGUUUCAUGUCCUUCUUGCUUUCCUGGAGCAGUGGCCACUCGCUUUCCUCAAAGCCAGUCCUCAGAGAGCACUUGAUUCCAGGUUAUCACCAGGGAGAACUUAACUUUCUGUUCCACCUAAUAAUCCCUUCCCCGAAUAGAAAAUGCAUUUUCGCUUAGCCAGAUAAAAAAUACCAGAUUAUCUGAUUUCCCUGAAGUUUUCUUGCCUGUAACCCAUGUGCUGUGACAGUUUCUAUACCAGCGAGGGUUCAGUAAUGUAGAAAUCAGAAACAGAUGUCUGCUAAUUUCAACAGGAAAAGGAUCUUUAGGGAAUGACUGAGGCAGGUCACAGAAUCCCUUAGAAGAACCAACUUCAAAUAUUGAAAAAGAAACUAGAGAAACUGGAAGUAUAGUGACCAGUUCAUGCUGGUUUGCCUGGGACUUUUCCAGUUUUUUCACUGACAUCGCUGACAUUCCCAGAUCUGUGACGUCCCUUAGUCCUGAGCAAACUGUAAGGGGUGGUUCCUUUGCUAGACGACUGCAACAACAGCACAUAUCACACCAUAGGAACAACCUAGUUAUGUGUGUUGUCCCUGUCAUUGUUGCUGGAUUUUGCAAACUGUCAAUAACUCCAUUGUGACAGCUCUCUCUUGAAAUUACCCUGCCAUCAAUAUUCUAAAUAGCUCCAUUAAGGCUUAUUUGGCCAUUGACUGCAGUUUGAAUAUCCAUCUCUGGUUCACCUACUUUGGUCUCCUGUCUAACCCUACUAAAUGUCAAAGAUCAGCUCUCAUGGGAUUUUCAGCUUCUCUCUUGAAGGCCCCACCCUUGGAUCCCAUUAGAACUUUAAUGUGGUUAGGUAGACAAAGGAGAAAAAAAGAGAAAUUCCAUAACUGUAAAUAAUCCAUAAGAUGAGUCCAGGAAGGGAAAUUGAUAAAUCCCAAGGUGGUACAAAAACAUGUAAGAAGAUCCUGCUGUGGCACAAUGGCAUCUGGAGUACUGGGAAGCAGGUUCAAUCCCAGCCCAGCACAGUGGGUUAAUGAUCCUGCAUGGCCACAGCUGUGGCCUAGUUCACAACUGCAGCUUGGAUAUGAUCCCUGUUCUGAUUCCUGGCCCAGGAACUCCAUAUGCCCCUGGGGUGGCCAAAAAUAAAUAAAUAAAUAAAUAAAGUAAAAAGGUGAUAUGUAAAAAAUCAUCAGCAUAUGAGGAAGCUCUAUACAUUAAUUUUUAUACAGUCAUACAAUUAUACUUAUCCUAUUUGUGAUGUAUGAGCACCAGGCGGGUCUGAUUCAGCAUCUGUCACCUAAAGAAAAUUCCCCAAAGGAUCUGAGUGUGAACUGCUCAACCCAGAUUAUUGACAUCUUCGGUCCACUUAUUUUGGCAGGACUUGGUAGCAUUAUUUGCAGUGAAUGUUAUUUAAAUCUUUAAGAGUAAGUAGACUACAAAAUCAAAAUAAAAUUGGAAAUAAGGUAUUCCUUGUAAUUUUUCUGUACCAUUCAAUGUAAAUUUCUGAUUAGGAAGUGUUAGAAGCAAUCAUAUAAAACUGAAAAUCAGCUUGAAAACACUCCUCUCUCAGUACCGUGGAGAUUUUUCUGAACCAUGCGUGUAGAUAUUGUUUUCUUUUCCUUGACAUUCAGUUGUCACUUUAUGUUAGAAGGCUGGAAAGAAAAAAUAAAUUCUAUUGAAAGCCUUUUUAUUCUCCCUUAACUUCUGAUUAGUUUUCAUAGAGUUGUUAAGCUAUUGGUCAGGCUGAAUGAAUUGAAGGUUAUGAGAAAUAACCUCCCUAAACGGCUUAGUUUAUACUUCACAAAUUGAAAUGAAAUAGUCAUUUUGACAUAAAUAGUAUCUUCAAAAACUCAGGCAUAAACACUUGUGCUCCAUA